rnacentral:rRNA from 1 species
GUCCGAGUUGUAAUUUGUAGAGGAGCGGUCGGUGAAGUCUAGGUCCGAGUCUGCUGGAAGGCAGCGCCGAUGAGGGUGACAGCCCCGUACGACCGAGGAUGGAGCCGUGUGAUCGCCCUUCGAAGAGUCGAGUUGUUUGGGAAUGCAGCUCAAAGCGGGUGGUAAAUUCCAUCUAAAGCUAAAUAUUGGCCAGAGACCGAUAGCGCACAAGUAGAGUGAUCGAAAGAUGAAAAGCACUUUGGAAAGAGAGUGAAACAGUACGUGAAAUUGUUGAAAGGGAAGCGCUUGCGAUCAGACUUGACCCGCACGUUCUCCCGUUCCUCGUGGACGGGGUAUUCGUGUGGAGCAGGCCAGCAUCAGUUUGGACGGCCGGAGAAAGGCGCAGGGAAAGUAGCUUUCACUUGUGGAAGUGUUAUAGCCCCGUGCACAAUACGGCCAGGCCAGACUGAGGACAGCGUUCGCCCGGAUGCUGGCGUAAUGGUCGUAAGCGGCCCGUCUUGAAACACGGACCAAGGAGUCUAACAUCCGUGCGAGUGUUUGGGUGUCAAACCCACACGCGCAAUGAAAGUGAACGUAGGUGGGAGCUUCGGCGCACCAUCGACCGAUCUGGACGUCCUCUGAAGGAUUUGAGUAAGAGCACGGGUGUUGGGACCCGAAAGAUGGUGAACUAUGCGUGAAUAGGGUGAAGCCAGGGGAAACCCUGGUGGAGGCUCGCAGCGGUUCUGACGUGCAAAUCGAUCGUCAAAUUUGCGUAUAGGGGCGAAAGACUUAUCGAACCAUCUAGUAGCUGGUUCCUGCCGAAGUUUCCCUCAGGAUAGCAGUAACGAGUUCAGUUUUAUGAGGUAAAGCGAAUGAUUAGAGGCCUGGGGGUUGAAACAACCUUCACCUAUUCUCAAACUUUAAAUAUGUAAGAAGCCCUUGUCACUUAAUUGGACGUGGGCAUUCGAAUGGACGUUACUAGUGGGCCAUUUUUGGUAAGCAGAACUGGCGAUGCGGGAUGAACCGAACGUGUGGUUAAGGUGCCGGAAUACACGCUCAUCAGACACCACAAAAAGUGUUAGUGCAUCUAGACAGCAGGACGGUGGCCAUGGAAGUCGGAAUCCGCUAAGGAGUGUGUAACAACUCACCUGCCGAAUGCACUAGCCUUGAAAAUGGAUGGCGCUCAAGCGUGUUACCCAUACCAC